rnacentral:rRNA from 1 species
UACGAAGGGGGCUAGCGUUGUUCGGAAUUACUGGGCGUAAAGCGUGCGCAGGCGGCUUCUCAAGUCAGGGGUGAAAGCCCAGAGCUCAACUCUGGAAUUGCCUUUGAGACUGAGUGGCUUGAGUACGGGAGAGGUGAGUGGAAUUCCCAGUGUAGAGGUGAAAUUCGUAGAUAUUGGGAAGAACACCGGUGGCGAAGGCGGCUCACUGGCCCGAAACUGACGCUGAGGCGCGAAAGCUAGGGGAGCAAACGGG